rnacentral:misc_RNA from 1 species
GAAAAAGCCAUCGCUGAGUAAUUUUACUCAGUAGUGCACAAUAAUAAUUUUUAAAACCAUAAAAAAUAUAAUCAUUCAUUGAUAAUAAGAAGUUAAAAUUUUCACAAUCACAGUUCACAAAAUUGUUGUCAAGAUUUUUAAUAACAAUUUAUGAAAAUAAAUUGUAAACCAUGAUGUUGCCAAUAAAUACACAACUUAAGUCAUGACACA